rnacentral:tRNA from 1 species
GGGGUCGUGGUGUAACGGUAGCACAGCGGACUUUUAAUCCGCCGGGUGGGGGUUCGAGUCCCUCCGACCCUA